rnacentral:rRNA from 1 species
GACGAACCGUGCAAACGUUAUUCGGAAUCACUGGGCUUGAAGGGCGCGUAGGCGGGCGCAUAAGUCAGGGGUGAAAGCCCACGGCUCAACCGUGGAAGAGCCUUUGAUACUGUGUGUCUUGAGGGAGGUAGGGGCGUGCGGAACUUCCGGUGGAGCGGUGAAAUGCGUAGAUAUCGGAAGGAACGCCGGCGGCGAAAGCGGUCUGCUGGACCCCCACUGACGCUGACGGCGCGAAAGCCCAGGGGAGCAAACGGGG